CACCAUCAACUUUCAUAUUCCU
rnacentral:siRNA from 1 species